rnacentral:rRNA from 5 species
CAAAACUUUCAACAACGGAUCUCUUGGUUCUGGCAUCGAUGAAGAACGCAGCGAAAUGCGAUAAGUAAUGUGAAUUGCAGAAUUCAGUGAAUCAUCGAAUCUUUGAACGCACAUUGCGCCCGCCAGUAUUCUGGCGGGCAUGCCUGUCCGAGCGUCAUU